rnacentral:tmRNA from 1 species
GGGGGUGUACUGGUUUCGACGGGAUUCGUUGAAGCGGAUUGUAAGCACGUCGAGGUGGCCGUUGGCCUCGUAAAAAAGCGGCAAAGCUAUAAAUGCAAACAUUGACGAAGUAAGCGCAGACUACGCUCUCGCUGCUUAAUCAAAAAAUAGACUAGCCGUAAUACGCCGGUCGGCUGAUUGAGAGUUUGUCUGCGGCUCUCAGUGAGUUAAUUCAGUAGACUAGAGAGUAUGUUUUGUCUUGAACAGCUUUUCGAACCUUUAAAGACUCGUACUUAAAGAUUUUGUCUUAGAAAGCUUUAGGUAUUAAAUAAAAACUGAGACUAAACGUGUAGAAAGCAUUCGCAGAAGUUUCUCGGACGCGGGUUCGAUUCCCGCCACCUCCACCA